rnacentral:rRNA from 1 species
GAUGAACGCUGGCGGCGUGCCUAAUACAUGCAAGUCGAGCGAACGGACGAGAAGCUUGCUUCUCUGAUGUUAGCGGCGGACGGGUGAGUAACACGUGGAUAACCUACCUAUAAGACUGGGAUAACUUCGGGAAACCGUAGCUAAUACCGGAUAAUAUUUUGAACCGCAUGGUUCAAAAGUGAAAGACGGUCUUGCUGUCACUUAUAGAUGGAUCCGCGCUGCAUUAGCUAGUUGGUAAGGUAACGGCUUACCAAGGCAACGAUGCAUAGCCGACCUGAGAGGGUGAUCGGCCACACUGGAACUGAGACACGGUCCAGACUCCUACGGGAGGCAGCAGUAGGGAAUCUUCCGCAAUGGGCGAAAGCCUGACGGAGCAACGCCGCGUGAGUGAUGAAGGUCUUCGGAUCGUAAAACUCUGUUAUUAGGGAAGAACAUAUGUGUAAGUAACUGUGCACAUCUUGACGGUACCUAAUCAGAAAGCCACGGCUAACAACGUG